UGUGGCUGGAUCACCUCCUUUCAAGGAGACCUACCCCUAAUUCACUCCGAAUAUGUUUUAUAGAGGAGGAACUAGAGGUCAUCCUAGGUCGUUCGGGAUUCAAGCAAGGCUUUCAAGCUAGAGUCGAGGGCUAAUUAAGGGCUAUUAGCUCAGGUGGUUAGAGCGCACCCCUGAUAAGGGUGAGGUCCCUGGUUCGAGUCCAGGAUGGCCCACUGCGUGGGGGUUUAGCUCAGUUGGUAGAGCGCCUGCUUUGCAAGCAGGAUGUCAGCGGUUCGAGUCCGCUAACCUCCACCACGCAAUCUGCCCUAGAUUGGGAAAAAGAAGUCAGCAAAGUGUUAAGGGAGAUUAACAUUCUGCUGAGUUCUUGAAACUCAGUUAGAACCUUGAAAACUGCAUAGAGAUGAGAGUCAAAGGUAGUACGGUCAUCAAUGUUUAUGAAUGGUCAAGCUACAAAGGGCU
rnacentral:tRNA from 1 species